rnacentral:rRNA from 1 species
AUUGAACGCUGGCGGCAGGCCUAACACAUGCAAGUCGAACGAGUGGCGGACGGGUGAGUAAUGUCUGGGAAACUGACUAACGGAGGGGUAUAACUACUGGAAACGGUAGCUAAUACCGCAUACCAUUAGUUCUGCCCUGGGUGGAGUAGCUUGUGGGUGGGGUAACGGCUCACCAAGGCGACGAUCCCUAGCUGGUCUGCGAGGAUGACCAGCCACACUGGAACUGAGACACGGUCCAGACUCCGACGGGAGGCAGCAGUGGGGAAUAUUGCACAAUGGGCGAAAGCCUGAUGCAGCCAUGCCGCGGGUAUGAAGAAGGUCUUCGGAUUGUAAAGCACUUUAAGUUGGGAGGCGUUACCGACAGAAUAAGCACCGGCUAACUCUGUGCCAGCAGCCGCGGUAAUUC